CAGUAGCCACGGUAAUACCAGCACCUCGAGUGGUCAGGAGGUUUAUUGGGCCUAAAGCAUCCGUAGCCGGUUGCAUAAGUUUUCGGUUAAACCUAUGCGCUUAACGUAUAGGCCGCCGAAAAUACUGCGCAGCUAGGGAGUGGGAGAGGUACACGGUACUCGAUAGGAAGGGGUAAAAUCCUUUGAUCUAUUGAUGACCACCUGUGGCGAAGGCGGUGUACCAGAACACGUUCGACGGUGAGGGAUGAAAGCUGGGGGAGCAAACCGGAUUAGAUACCCCAGUAGUCCCUGUCUCUUAUAA
rnacentral:rRNA from 1 species